GAUGAACGCUAGCGGGAGGCCUAACACAUGCAAGCCGAGCGGUAUUGUUUCUUCGGAAAUGAGAGAGCGGCGUACGGGUGCGGAACACGUGUGCAACCUGCCUUUAUCUGGGGGAUAGCCUUUCGAAAGGAAGAUUAAUACUCCAUAAUAUAUUGAUUGGCAUCAAUUAAUAUUGAAAGCUCCGGCGGAUAGAGAUGGGCACGCGCAAGAUUAGCUAGUUGGUGAGGUAACGGCUCACCAAGGCGAUGAUCUUUAGGGGGCCUGAGAGGGUGAUCCCCCACACUGGUACUGAGACACGGACCAGACUCCUACGGGAGGCAGCAGUGAGGAAUAUUGGUCAAUGGGUGCAAGCCUGAACCAGCCAUCCCGCGUGAAGGACGACUGCCCUAUGGGUUGUAAACUUCUUUUGUAUAGGGAUAAACCUACCCUCGUGAGGGUAGCUGAAGGUACUAUACGAAUAAGCACCGGCUAACUCCGUGCCAGCAGCCGCGGUAAUACGGAGGGUGCAAGCGUUAUCCGGAUUUAUUGGGUUUAAAGGGUCCGUAGGCGGACUUAUAAGUCAGUGGUGAAAGCCUGUCGCUUAACGAUAGAACUGCCAUUGAUACUGUAAGUCUUGAGUAUAUUUGAGGUAGCUGGAAUAAGUAGUGUAGCGGUGAAAUGCAUAGAUAUUACUUAGAACACCAAUUGCGAAGGCAGGUUACCAAGAUAUAACUGACGCUGAGGGACGAAAGCGUGGGGAGCGAACAGGAUUAGAUACCCUGGUAGUCCACGCCGUAAACGAUGCUAACUCGUUUUUGGGCUUUAGGGUUCAGAGACCAAGCGAAAGUGAUAAGUUAGCCACCUGGGGAGUACGCUCGCAGGAGUGAAACUCAAAGGAAUUGACGGGGGCCCGCACAAGCGGUGGAUUAUGUGGUUUAAUUCGAUGAUACGCGAGGAACCUUACCAAGACUUAAAUGGGAAUUGACAGCUUUAGAAAUAGAGCUUUCUUCGGACAAUUUUCAAGGUGCUGCAUGGUUGUCGUCAGCUCGUGCCGUGAGGUGUUAGGUUAAGUCCUGCAACGAGCGCAACCCCUGUCACUAGUUGCCAUCAUUCAGUUGGGGACUCUAGUGAGACUGCCUACGCAAGUAGAGAGGAAGGUGGGGAUGACGUCAAAUCAUCACGGCCCUUACGUCUUGGGCCACACACGUAAUACAAUGGCCGGUACAGAGGGCAGCUACACAGCGAUGUGAUGCAAAUCUCGAAAGCCGGUCUCAGUUCGGAUUGGAGUCUGCAACUCGACUCUAUGAAGCUGGAAUCGCUAGUAAUCGCGCAUCAGCCAUGGCGCGGUGAAUACGUUCCCGGGCCU
rnacentral:rRNA from 1 species